UACAUGGGGGUGCAAACGUUGCUCGGAAUUAUUGGGCGUAAAGCGCACGUAGGCGGUUCGUUAAGUCGGAUGUGAAAGCCCUCGGCUCAACUGAGGAAGUGCACCCGAAACUGGCGAGCUUGAGUACGAAAGAGGAUCGCGGAAUUCCCGGUGUAGAGGUGAAAUUCGUAGAUAUCGGGAGGAACACCUGCGGUGUAGACGGCUUACUGGACCAUAACUGACGCUGAGGCACGAAAGCGUGGGUAGCAAACAGG
rnacentral:rRNA from 1 species